rnacentral:rRNA from 1 species
AAUAUUGGACAAUGGGGGGAACACUGUUCCAGCCAUGCCGCGUGUGUGAAGAAAGUCUUCGGCUUGUAAAGCACUUUCAGUUGGGAGGAAGAGUUGUAGGCUAAUACCUUGCAAUUUUGACGUUACCAACAGAAUAAGCACCUGCUACCUUGCUGCCAGCAGCCGCGGUAAUAAGAAGGGUCAAAGUGGUAAUCGUAAUUACUUGUCGGAAAGCGGGCGUAGGUGGUUCGUUAAGUAGGAAGUGAAAGCCCCGGGCUUAACCUGGGAAGUGCUUUCAAAACUGACGAGCUAGAGUACGGUAGAGGGUAGUGGAAUUUCCUGUGUAGCGGUGAAAUGCGUAGAUAUAGGAAGGAACAUCAGUGGCGAAGGCGACUACCUGGACUGAUACUGACACUGAGGUGCGAAAGCGUGGGGAGCAAACAGG